CCUACGGGAGGCAGCAGUGGGGAAUAUUGCGCAAUGGGCGAAAGCCUGACGCAGCGACGCCGCGUGAGGGUUGAAGGUCUUCGGAUCGUAAACCUCUGUCAGCAGGGAAGAACGGUCACUGUGCUAAUCAGCAGUGAAUUGACGGUACCUGCAAAGGAAGCACCGGCUAACUCCGUGCCAGCAGCCGCGGUAAUACGGGGGGUGCGAGCGUUAAUCGGAAUUACUGGGCGUAAAGCGCUCGUAGGCGGUAUGUCAAGUCAAGGGGGAAAUCCCCGCGCUCAACGUGGGAACUGCCUUUGAAACUGGCAAACUGGAGUGUGUGAGAGGAUAGUGGAAUUCCAGGUGUAGGAGUGAAAUCCGUAGAUAUCUGGAGGAACAUCAGUGGCGAAGGCGACUAUCUGGCACAUAACUGACGCUGAGGAGCGAAAGCGUGGGUAGCAAACAGGAUUAGAUACCCCUGUAGUC
rnacentral:rRNA from 1 species